AUUGAACGCUGGCGGAAUGCUUUACACAUGCAAGUCGAACGGCAGCACGGACUUCGGUCUGGUGGCGAGUGGCGAACGGGUGAGUAAUGUAUCGGAACGUGCCCAGUCGUGGGGGAUAACGUAGUGAAAAUUACGCUAACACAGCAUACGAUCUAUGGAUGAAAGCGGGGGAUGGCAAGACGUCGCGCGAUUGGAGCGGCCGAUAUCAGAUUAGGUAGUUGGUGGGGUAAAGGCCCACCAAGCCAACGAUCUGUAGCUGGUCUGAGAGGACGACCAGCCACACUGGAACUGGGACACGGUCCAAACUCCUACGGGAGGCAGCAGUGGGGAAUUUUGGACAAUGGGCGAAAGCCUGAUCCAGCCAUUCCGCGUGCAGGAUGAAGGCCCUCGGGUUGUAAACUGCUUUUGUACAGAACGAAAAGGUUUCUACUAAUACUAGGAGCUCAUGACGGUACUGUAAGAAUAAGCACCGGCUAACUACGUGCCAGCCGCCGCGGUAA
rnacentral:rRNA from 1 species